rnacentral:rRNA from 1 species
AGAGUUUGAUCCUGGCUCAGGAUGAACGCUGGCGGCGUGCCUAACACAUGCAAGUCGAGCGAAGCACUCUAAUUCGAUUCUUCGGAUGAAGAUUUUUGUGACUGAGCGGCGGACGGGUGAGUAACGCGUGGGCAACCUGCCUUACACAGGGGGAUAACAGUUAGAAAUGACUGCUAAUACCGCAUAAGACCACGGUACUGCAUGGUACAGUGGUAAAAACUCCGGUGGUGUAAGAUGGGCCCGCGUCUGAUUAGGUAGUUGGCGGGGUAACGGCCCACCAAGCCGACGAUCAGUAGCCGACCUGAGAGGGUGACCGGCCACGUUGGGACUGAGACACGGCCCAGACUCCUACGGGAGGCAGCAGUGGGGAAUAUUGCACAAUGGGGGAAACCCUGAUGCAGCGACGCCGCGUGAGCGAUGAAGUAUUUCGGUAUGUAAAGCUCUAUCAGCAGGGAAGAAAAUGACGGUACCUGACUAAGAAGCCCCGGCUAACUACGUGCCAGCAGCCGCGGUAAUACGUAGGGGGCAAGCGUUAUCCGGAUUUACUGGGUGUAAAGGGAGCGUAGACGGCUGUGCAAGCCAGAUUUGAAAGCCCGGGGCUCAACCCCGGGACUGCAUUUGGAACUGUGUGGCUGGAGUGUCGGAGAGGCAGGCGGAAUUCCUAGUGUAGCGGUGAAAUGCGUAGAUAUUAGGAGGAACACCAGUGGCGAAGGCGGCCUGCUGGACGAUGACUGACGUUGAGGCUCGAAAGCGUGGGGAGCAAACAGGAUUAGAUACCCUGGUAGUCCACGCCGUAAACGAUGAAAACGAGGUGUCGGGGGCAAAAGCCAUUGGGGGCCGCAGCCAACGCCAAUAAGUAGUCCCACCUAGGGGAGUACGUUCGCAAGAAUGAAACUCAAAGGAAUAGACGGGGGACCCGCAACAAGCGGGUGGAGACAUGUGGUUUAAUUCGAAGCAACGCGAAGAACCUUACCUGAUCUUGACAUCCCGGUGACCGGAACUUAAUCGUUCCUUCUCUUCGGAGCACUGGAGACAGGUGGUGCAUGGUUGUCGUCAGCUCGUGUCGUGAGAUGUUGGGUUAAGUCCCGCAACGAGCGCAACCCUUAUCUUUAGUAGCCAGCACGUAAGGUGGGCACUCUAGAGAGACUGCCAGGGACAACCUGGAGGAAGGUGGGGAUGACGUCAAAUCAUCAUUCCCCUUCCGACCAGGGCUACACACGUGCUACAAUGGCGUAAACAAAGGGAAGCAAGCAUGUGAAUGUGAGCAAAUCCCAAAAAUAACGUCUCAGUUCGGAUUGUAGUCUGCAACUCGACUACAUGAAGCUGGGAAUCGCUAGUAAUCUCGAAUCAG